GCUGCUGCUGCUGCUGCUGCUGCUGCUGCUGCUGCUGCUGCUGCUGCUGCUGCUGCUGCUGCUGCUGCUGCUGCUGCUGCUGCUGCUGCUGCUGCUGCUGCCAUAUUUGCCUGAUGUGCAAGAAUAAAACAGUUUAUCAGUUAAACUCACACAUAUGGAAGGAGGUUGAGAAAAUUCUGUCUAGCAUUAAAUUUUAGAUGUCAUGGAGGAGGAAUAGGGAUCAUCUGUUGCUCUUUUUUGAAGUUUUUUUUUAAGGAAGUUGACAAUGAAAACUGACUGUCUGGUUUUCAGGAGUGGAGCUAGGUCUAAGUCUGUGCUAUUUUUUAAUAUUUAGUGUUAAAACUGCUUGAAAAAGGUGUCUGAUACAUAUUUUUUCUCCUACAAUUCAAUACAUAAAGCCCUCCUUGUGCGAUAUUAUCUGAACAGAGCCCUUCGCUCUCAGACUGCAGGUUUGCUUUGUGGUUUUCUAGAGUUUGCAGAAGUUGAAUGAGCUGCAGAGCUUUCAGUUAUCAGGCGCCUCCGUUUUGGAAUCUGCUCCUGGUUUGGCUUCGGGAGGCAGACACCCUCUUUACUUUUAGGACUAGGCUUAAAACGUUCCUCUUUUAUUAAGCUUAUGGUUAGGGCUGCUCAGAAACUCAGACAGACAGAGAGACAGAGGUUUAGGUUUAGACUGCUUGGGGACUUCCCAUGAUGCACUGAGCACCUCUCCGCUACUGUCCUCUCCCUGUCUUCCAUAUAAUUAUAUAUCACCAUUACGUGUCACUAACUUUGUAUCUUCCCUGUAGUUUGUGUUUUGUUCUCUCUGCAGCUACAUGAUCCGCAGUCGCUGGAAUCACCAACCUCCAGAAUGUUCAUUGUUCUCUCAUGUAUUGUCUGUUCUCCACCUGCUGUUCUGCUACCCUCACCCCAACCACUCCCCCACUCCCCUCAUUCCCGCCCUCACCUCAAGUGGUCGAGGCAGAUGGCUGAAUUCCCUGUGCCUGGUUCUUUCUGAUUUUUUGGUUUGUUUUUUGUUCUUUCCCACUGUCACAAAGUGGUUGCUCAAAGGCAAACCAAAGAACACUUUGGAUUUUGUUGGGUUUCUCUGUUUAAAUUUUGUAUGUGAAGUGCUUUAAGAUGACAUAUAUUGUCAAUGGGUGCUGUAUUGAUAAAAUUCAACUGAAAAUUGAACAAAGGAAAAGGAAAGUGACUUUCCUAAACUGAAAAAAAAAACUUUGAAUGCCAGAUUACUAAUGGUUUACCAGAGUUACUUCAGUUCACUCGAAUAACACGGCUGUCACUUUGUGACUGUGGCCAUAUUUAAUCUGAUAUUGGAACCAUGUGUGCAGGUGUGGAUGUGAGAGGCAGUGAUUGGUGGAUCAACUACCUGCCUGCAGGUGAUUGGCUCAACUACAGAACAACAUCCAAGAUGCCAUACUGUAGAGGAAUCAUUCAUUCCCUUCUCCUUUCAACCAGCUUCGCUUAUAUCUAAUGUGUCCACCUGGAGCUUUUGCUAUACGGAUGGAUUUGUGAAUCUUUAGGCAUUAGCAGGAAGGAAUGAGCAUGCAGCUAAUGAUUUCAACCACACAGCAUCUAUUCUCAUCUGUCCAGACUUGCCUUUGUUAAACACUAGUCUGCUGGAGUUUAUGCGGGAAGAGAGAUGCUGUCUGCAUACAGAGACUGUAAAAGUACUGACCUCUGCAUCAAGGUGGUUCUACAGACUCACAGAAUGUUUUACACACCUGGAACAGCAGAGAUAUACAGAGAAUAUAAAGAGUGAGAGAGCAGGAAAAUGCCUCAAAAAUGGAACUGGGGACUCACUACUGACCACAUUUGCACUGCGAUGUAUGCAUCCUACCUACUCGGCUGUUGGGUUGCCUGAGGUAGCCUUAGAAACAAUGGAACAGGAAAUACCAUAAAGUAGUGAACGUGAGGCUGCAUGUCAUCAGUACACCCACAGAGAAGCUACUUACCCUCCCAUCAACCUGUGGAGGUGAAGAGAAGAAACAACUGCAGAUUCCAGACAGACAGGAUGGGCAUCUGUCUGAGUUAUGACUCAUCAUUAAUAGCAUGUUGAAUAAAACAUCACAGAGUGAGA